rnacentral:rRNA from 1 species
UACAGAGGUGGCAAGCGUUGUUCGGAAUUACUGGGCGUAAAGGGCGCGUAGGCGGUCUUGUCAGUCCCUUGUGAAAGCCCCCGGCUCAACUGGGGAGGGUCACGCGAUACUGAUCGACUCGAAGGCAGGAGAGGGUAGUGGAAUUCCCGGUGUAGUGGUGAAAUGCGUAGAUAUCGGGAGGAACACCAGUGGCGAAGGCGAGUCUCUGGGCUGAUACCGAGCUGAGGCGCGAAAGCCAGGGGAGCAAACAGG